CCCACAUCCCUAGUUGCCAUCAGUUCGGCUGGGCACUCUAUGGAAACUGCCCGUGAUAAGCGGGAGGAAGGUGUGGAUGACGUCAAGUCCUCAUGGCCCUUACGGGUUGGGCUACACACGUGCUACAAUGGUAGUGACAAUGGGUUAAUCCCAUAUAGCUAUCUCAGUUCGGAUUGUCGUCUGCAACUCGACGGCAUGAAGUCGGAAUCGCUAGUAAUCGCGUAACAGCAUGACGCGGUGAUACGUUCCCGGGCCUUGUACACACCGCCCGUCACACCAUGGGAGUUGGUUCUACCCGACGGCCGUGCGCUAACCUUUUGGAGGCAGCGGACCACGGUAGGAUCAGCGACUGGGGUGAAGUCGUAACAAGGUAACCAAGGGC
rnacentral:rRNA from 1 species